rnacentral:rRNA from 1 species
UGGGGAAUAUUGGACAAUGGGCGAAAGCCUGAUCCAGCCAUGCCGCGUGUGUGAAGAAGGUCUUCGGAUUGUAAAGCACUUUAAGUUGGGAGGAAGGGCAGUAAGCGAAUACCUUGCUGUUCUGACGUUACCGACAGAAUAAGCACCGGCUAACUCUGUGCCAGCAGCCGCGGUAAUACAGAGGGUGCAAGCGUUAAUCGGAAUUACUGGGCGUAAAGCGCGCGUAGGUGGUUCGUUAAGUUGAAUGUGAAAGCCCCGGGCUCAACCUGGGAACUGCAUCAAAAACUGGCGAGCUAGAGGAGGGCAGAGGGUGGUGGAAUUUCCUGUGUAGCGGUGAAAUGCGUAGAUAUAGGAAGGAACACCAGUGGCGAAGGCGACCACCUGGGCUCAUACUGACACUGAGGUGCGAAAGCGUGGGGAGCAAACAGG